GCAUAUCAAUAGCGGAGGAAAAGAAACUAACAAGGAUUCCCCUAGUAACUGCGAGUGAAGCGGGAAAAGCUCAAAUUUAAAAUCUGGCGGUCUUUGGCCGUCCGAGUUGUAGUCUGGAGAAGUGCUUUCCGCGCUGGACCGUGUACAAGUCUCUUGGAACAGAGCGUCAUAGAGGGUGAGAAUCCCGUCUUUGACACGGACUACCAGUGCUUUGUGAUGCGCUCUCAACGAGUCGAGUUGUUUGGGAAUGCAGCUCAAAAUGGGUGGUAAAUUCCAUCUAAAGCUAAAUAUUGGCGAGAGACCGAUAGCGAACAAGUACCGUGAGGGAAAGAUGAAAAGCACUUUGGAAAGAGAGUUAAACAGUACGUGAAAUUGCUGAAAGGGAAACGAUUGAAGUCAGUCGCGUUGGCCGGAACUCAGCCUUGCUUCCGCUUGGUGUAUUUUCUGGUUGACGGGCCAGCAUCAGUUUUGAUCGUUGGAUAAAGGCUGGGGGAAUGUGGCACCUUCGGGUGUGUUAUAGCCCUCGGUCACAUACAACGGCUGGGACUGAGGAUCGCAGCACGCCUUUAUGGUCGGGGUUCGCCCACGUAUGUGCUUAGGAUGCUGGCAUAAUGGCUUUAAACGACCCGUCUUGAAACACGGACCAAGGAGUCUAACAUGCCCGCGAGUGUUUGGGUGGAAAACCCGAGCGCGUAAUGAAAGUGAAAGUUGAGAUCCCUGUCAUGGGGAGCAUCGACGCCCGGACCUGAACUUCUGUGACGGCUCUGCGGUGGAGCGUGUAUGUUGGGACCCGAAAGAUGGUGAACUAUGCCUGAAUAGGGUGAAGCCAGAGGAAACUCUGGUGGAGGCUCGUAGCGAUUCUGACGUGCAAAUCGAUCGUCAAAUUUGGGUAUAGGGGGCGAAAGACUAAUCGAACCAUCUAGUAGCUGGUUCCUGCCGA
rnacentral:rRNA from 1 species